CAGAAUGCUAAUGCUAACAGGCUGUGAUCAAAGUGCACUGGAAAUGUGCUUUCAGGACAAGGAGUCACCCCACACUAGUGUUUCUGUUUGAUUCUUUUCUUCGGUAAGAAUGACAUUUGUGGCGGAAGUGCACACACGGAAGGAGAAACUGACAAUCUGGAACAAGGAAACCAGGGAACACUGAUGUGCAGAGAAUUGAUGUGACUUACUCAUAUAGCAGAGAGAAGAAAAUAUGCACCCUGACAAUUUCACCUUCUUCAUCCCAAGAAUCAUCCACACAUCUGACAAGAGUCUCCUUCAUCUUUUAGAAAAAUGAUGAUAUUAACUGGCACCAUUAUAAUUACUUCACAAUCACCUUAACAUAAGAUAUUAAUUACCAAAAGUCACCUUUGAUUUAAAAAACUAUGUAAAUAAAUGCAAAGCAGAAUCUCCUGAAGAAAAAGUUUCACUGAUUUUAUAUUAGUUUACAAAAUAAUGCUUCCAAGACUUUCAGGCAGACUAAAAAACAUCACGUUUGAUAAUUGAAGCUAUUUUCCAAUUUCCUCCAAUACUCCACUAUUAUACUUCCCCCAUCAGAACCUAAUUCUCAUGGAUAUUUUACUGAGCUCGCUCCACAACCAAGAUGGUAAUCAAGGCAUGGAUGGGAAGAUGAUGUAAAUCUUCAUGUUUAGCACCUUGCAUUCUGGUUUAUUCCUGCAUAAUGACUUAACAGAUCUUACUCACAGGCAUUACACCAGAAUUAGGGUAAUCAUCCAUUUUCAGGUCUCAGGCAUACCACACAGUCAUCGUUCAGUAGUAAUAUUGUGGAGUAAAAAAUAAGCAUUUAAAAUCAGUGUGGGACUUAUAACCUUAAUGAAUAAAUUCUCUACUCAUUUCUACUUCUCUAGUUGGGAUGGAGUUCCUGUUUGUCCAUUUAUUUCCCCCAAACCUAAUGAUUAAUUUUGAAUUUUGAAAUACUGUAUUAGUUUCAAAAGACUCUCCCAUGUAUCAUGCCCUACCUUUUUUUUCUUUUUAAAUUUCUGGCUUACUUCCAUCCUUAUCUAUUUUCAAGACUGAUUCUUCAUGCUUUUGAAAUUAUGUAAGCAAAAUAAGUUAGAAAAACAAAACCACAAAUAUAAAACAUAAAAAUGUCACUAUAUUAAUUUCUCAAGAGAACUAAAUGAAUACUCUUACAUCAAAA